CAGGACAAGGCUCUGCCUUCUCCCUGGACAUUCAGUUGACUGAAAGACGGUCCUAAUAAUAAUAAUAAUAAUAAUAAUAAUAGUAAUAUUCUAAUAAUAAUAAUAUGACCAGCAGAACUAGUGAAUAUAACUUGCACAGAGCAGCACUCGAUAGGACAGCGGUGCAUAGCGGAGAGCAGGGCAGCCGCAAGCUUGUCAGAUGUGAAUGAAACAUCUGGAUCCCUAAUCUCCGAUGAAGGUAGCAGCAUCUUUUUACUUGGUCAGGACUCUGACUCAUUUUUUGAUGAGGAUGAACUGUUGUCUUGCACCCAGGAAAGGUCGCUGUCACAGCAGUCAUAUUUCUCUUCAUUUUAUUAUUUGUAUCACAUUUCUAAAACGCUCCCUAUAAACUCUUUAUAAACCUAUUUUUUAAAAGGCAAUAAUAAUUUGUUUUCCAAUAAUUUGGAUUUGUAAGUGUGGCAGAUUAGUUAGAUCCUCCCUGUAGUGACGUCAUGUUAUUGGUAGCCUAUCGUCCCGCAGGGAGGUGUGUAUAAAUGGCUGUUUGGUGCGGGCCGGAUGUGCGUCAUCUGUUCUGUGCCUGCGCUCUUCCUGUUUACCGGCAUUCAACAGAGGUCUGUGGUUAAAACACAGCCGUGUGGACAUUCUAACACCGCUUGUGUCAUUUGGUAGGGCUUUGUGUACACUGAAGAGUCUAUUGUAAACAACCGUUACGUGCUGUCUGGCUCGUUACACUGCCUAGUCCCAGGAGCUGUGUGUCCGACGGCAGUGAGGCUUUCCUUCACCGUGUGCUGUGUUAUGCUGUCCUAUCUGAUGCCAAUAGGCUACAGCUCUGAAACAAUUGUGAAUCCUUAUUGUGGAUUGUGAUUUCCAGCUUUAGUAAUUUGCUGGGAACAAGACAGCAGCGUAGACUCUCUUUGAAGGGUCUCUUUGGCCAUCUCUCCUGAUUGUGUUUCAGGUCCAAAUUUACUUCCUGCCCCGCCUUGCCUGGUGGAGCUGUGUGUCCGACGGCAGUGAGGCUUUCCUUCACCGUGUGCUGUGUUAUGCUGUGUGAGCACCACUGAUAAAAUCACGGGUAUUGGAGUGAGUGUGUGUGUGCGUGUGUGCACUUAGUGUGAUUCUCCUCUUUUGCUCCCUCUCUUAGCCUAUCUGAUGCCAAUAGGCUACAGCUCUGAAACAAUUGUGAAUCCUUAUUGUGGAUUGUGAUUUCCAGCUUUAGUAAUUUGCUGGGUGACUAUUAUUCCUGCAUUUUAAACUUUUGUACAAAUAAACAAACUCUAUUUUGCUACCCACGUCUCUUGCUCAUUUUAUUCAGUGGAAUGU